rnacentral:tRNA from 1 species
GGUGGGUUGGCUCAGUGGUUAGAGGGUAGAUCUAGCAACCGAAAGGUCGCGGGAUCGAAUCCCGCUAGAGGCUG